UCCCUGGUGGCUCAGAUAGUAAAGCGUCUGCCUGCAAUGCAGGAGACCCAGGUUCAAUCCCUGGGUCGGGAA
rnacentral:tRNA from 1 species